rnacentral:rRNA from 1 species
UACGAAGGGUGCUAGCGUUGUUCGGAUUUACUGGGCGUAAAGCGCGCGUAGGCGGCUUUUCAAGUCAGGGGUGAAAUCCCACGGCUCAACCGUGGAAUUGCCUUUGAAACUGUAAAGCUAGAGUGUCGGAGGGGAUAGCGGAAUUGCUAAUGUAGAGGUGAAAUUCGUAGAUAUUAGCAGGAACACCGGUGGCGAAGGCGGCUAUCUGGACGACAACUGACGCUGAGGCGCGAAAGCGUGGGGAUCAAACAGG